AUUAUUAUUAUUAUUAUUAUUAUUAUUAUAUAUAUACAUCAAUCUAAAUUUUAUUUUGUUGACUUUUUUAAAAGUCAGCAUUAGCAUGGAUUGUGCAAGAGUUGUGCUAAUGUAAGUUAAGAACUAUGUUGGUGCAGAUUGUUGAUAUAAAUUAAAAAUUAGUGAUGAAAUUUAAAUAUAAAGGGCUGAUAUUUAAGAAUGUUGUAGUCACACUCUCUCUCACUCUCUUUCAUCCUUUUAAAAACAAUCUGCCUAUGAAAUGUUAACGGGUGUAUGUGAACAAACAAGGUAAAAAGACAAAAAAGUUGAGUACCACACAUGCAUUAUGCUAUUAAUUCUGUAUUAUAGUCCAAAUAUAACCUACUAAAUCUAUAAAGUUGAAAUAGUUUUAGUUUACAUGUAAAUUUGUAACAGUUUGGAAACCAAUUUCGAAAUCAGUUCCAUAGGGUAAACAUGGUAUUUACUUUUAUUCUUUUUCUUUAUUUGCUGUUUUGUACAAACAUGAUCUCAAAGUCCAUGCUCAUCAAUAUAUAAUAGUUUUGGUAUAGCAUUACUAAAUAUUUAUAAUAAAAAUUCAUGAACUGCCCUAAAAGAAAAAUUUUCAUCAAUUAGAUUUUUCCUCUCGUUUCAUAGAAAAUACUAAAGAGAGUUUUUGCCUAUUUUCUUAAAAUUCUUUGAAGAGAAAAACUUAAUUUGUUUCAUUUCCUUGAAAUGCAUUCGAAAGCUAUACAUAAUACUUCUGCAAUGUCUGUUAUGUGUGCAAUGUGUGUUGUGUGUGCAUGUGUGUGUCUUUAUGUGUAUAAGAAUAGUAUAUCCAUAAAGCAGAGUAUGUGUGUUGUCAAAAAGAUGUUAUUUCUUAUCUUUCCAAAUUUCAUGAUCUUCAUUAUUCUCAAGCAUCUGGACUAUUUAAUCAGUACAUAUUUUGUCCAACACUGUGAGAAAAUGUUAAACUUACGAAGGGAAGAAAAACUGCAAUAAUUAUGAUUUUUUCCCUUUUAAUAUAUGACUGUUCAUUUAAAAAAAAAAUUGCUUGAAAUAAUUGCCUCCAUUAGCUACAAACUGUAACAUGCAUACAUGCUUAUAGUUUGAUUUAUUUCUUAAGAAAGAACACUGAUACAAAUAGAAACACCAAACACAACAUAUAUAGUGAUAAGGGACAAGCAAGAAAGGUAUUAGUUAUAUGUUGACUUAUAUCUCAUACAGUGCCUUGCAUUAGAUUAAUGAGUGUUGUUAAAAAUUUGCUGCAUUUGUUCAUGAAGAAAUGCAACAAUUUUUUUUAUACAUAAUAAUCCUUUGUUGCCAAUAUUAAUCUUUUUUUUUUAACUUUCCAAUAUUUUUCUUCGUACAAGAUGGUGUAAUAAUAAAGCAUUCUUUUUAAUAUUUUA